rnacentral:rRNA from 1 species
CCUACGGGCGGCAGCAGUGAGGAAUAUUGGUCAAUGGGCGCAAGCCUGAACCAGCCAAGUCGCGUGAGGGAUGACGGUCCUAUGGAUUGUAAACCUCUUUUGUCGGGGAGCAAGGCCCGCCACGUGUGGCGGGAAGGAGAGUACCCGAAGAAAAAGCAUCGGCUAACUCCGUGCCAGCAGCCGCGGUAAUACGGAGGAUGCGAGCGUUAUCCGGAUUUAUUGGGUUUAAAGGGUGCGUAGGCGGAAGGUUAAGUCAGCGGUCAAAUGUCGGUGCUCAACACCGGCCUGCCGUUGAAACUGGUCGUCUUGAGUGAGCGAGAAGUAUGCGGAAUGCGGGGUGUAGCGGUGAAAUGCAUAGAUAUCACGCAGAACUCCGAUUGCGAAGGCAGCAUACCGGCGCUCAACUGACGCUGAGGCACGAAAGCGUGGGGAUCGAACAGGAUUAGAUACCCUUGUAGUC